GACGAACGCCGGCGGCGUGCUUAACACAUGCAAGUCGAACGAUGAAACCUAGCUUGCUAGGUCGAUUAGUGGCGAACGGGUGAGUAACACGUGACUAACCUGCCCCUUUCUCUGGGAUAACGCUCCGAAAGGAGUGCUAAUACCGGAUACUCACACCGAGGCACAUGCCUUGGUGUGGAAAGUUUUUCGGAAAGGGAUGGAGUCGCGGCCUAUCAGCUUGUUGGUGAGGUAACGGCUCACCAAGGCGACGACGGGUAGCCGGCCUGAGAGGGCGAGCGGCCACACUGGGACUGAGACACGGCCCAGACUCCUACGGGAGGCAGCAGUGGGGAAUAUUGCACAAUGGGCGCAAGCCUGAUGCAGCGACGCCGCGUGAGGGAUGAAGGUCUUCGGAUUGUAAACCUCUUUCAGUAGGGACGAAGCGAAAGUGACGGUACCUAAAGAAGAAGCACCGGCUAACUACGUGCCAGCCGCCGCAGUAA
rnacentral:rRNA from 1 species